CCCAGCAGAUGACCUGUACUUCUCUGCUCUCUCCCCUACUGCAAAGAGGCAGUGAGGGCAGCAUUAGUAAGCCUGACUCAGGGGAAGCCCUGCGCACCUCACCUUUGCUGUUGCUGACUUCAGAGGAAUUGGCUGUAGAGACAAUACCAGCCGGGUCAAGAGCUGCAGAGCCCGGAGAAUCAGUAAGAAUAUCUAUGAUGAAAAGGAAGAACAUAGUUAUCCUAAGAAAGUAAUUAAAGAUGUAAUGAGUUCAA
ensembl:lncRNA XPC-AS1 XPC antisense RNA 1